GGUUGUAGCUCAGUGGUAGAAUGCUUGCCUAGCACAUAUGAGGCACUGGGUUCAUUCCCCAGUACCA
rnacentral:tRNA from 1 species